UACGAAGGGGGCUAGCGUUGUUCGGAUUUACUGGGCGUAAAGCGCACGUAGGCGGAUUGUUAAGUCAGGGGUGAAAUCCCGGAGCUCAACUCCGGAACUGCCUUUGAUACUGGCAAUCUUGAGGCUGGAAGAGGUUGGUAGAAUUCCCAGUGUAGAGGUGAAAUUCGUAGAUAUUCGCAAGAACACCAGUGGCGAAGGCGGCUCACUGGCUCGGUACUGACGCUGAGGUGCGAAAGCGUGGGGAGCAAACAGG
rnacentral:rRNA from 1 species